AUUGAACGCUGGCGGCAGGCUUAACACAUGCAAGUCGAACGUGUCGCGGUCGUUUUAGUAAUUCUUGGGACUCUCGCUUAUGUUGGGGGAUACCUCCGGGAAACUGUCGCUUAUACCGCGUCCCAUAGUCUGCGCCCAAGUGGGAUUAGGGAGUUGGUGCGGUAAAGGCACCCCAAGCCGACGCUCUCUAGCUGGUCUGAGAGGAUGACCAGCCACACUGGAACUGAGACACGGCCCAGACUCCUACGGGAGGCAGCAGUGGGGAAUAUUGCGCAAUGGGGGAAAGCUGACGCAGCCAUGCCGCGUGAAUGAAGAAGGCCUUCGGGUUGUAAAGUACUUUCGGUAGCGAGGCGUUAAAUGCAGAAGAAGAACAGGCUAACUCCGUGCCAGCAGCCGCGGUAAUAG
rnacentral:rRNA from 1 species